CCUACGGGAGGCAGCAGUGGGGAAUAUUGGACAAUGGGGGGAACCCUGAUCCAGCGACGCCGCGUGAGUGAAGAAGUAUUUCGGUAUGUAAAGCUCUAUCAGCAGGGAAGAAAAUGACGGUACCUGACUAAGAAGCCCCGGCUAACUACGUGCCAGCAGCCGCGGUAAUACGUAGGGGGCAAGCGUUAUCCGGAUUUACUGGGUGUAAAGGGAGCGUAGACGGUGCAGCAAGUCUGAUGUGAAAGGUCGGGGCCCAACCCCGGGACUGCAUUGGAAACUGUUGAACUGGAGUACAGGAGAGGGAAGGGGAAUUCCUAGUGGAGCGGGGAAAGGGGGAGAGAGUAGGGGGAACACCAGUGGAGAGGGGGGUUUACUGGACUGUAACUGACGUUGAGGCUCGAAAGCGUGGGGAGAAAACAGGAUUAGAAACCCGAGUAGUC
rnacentral:rRNA from 1 species